GUCAGUUUGGCCGAGUGGUCUAAGGCGCGGGUCUCAAGCUUAGUAAAAGCUUCUCCGCAGUCAAUUUCAUGGUGUAGUACUCGUAUGGUACCACUCUUACCAUGAUCUGGACUUGGUAACGGAGCCUUCCCGUGGAGCAAUCCGCGUGAGUUCAAAUCUCACAGCUGACA